UUUAACUGAAGAGUUUGAUCAUGGCUCAGAUUGAACGCUGGCGGCAGGCUUAACACAUGCAAGUCGAGCGGGGGAAGGUAGCUUGCUACUGGACCUAGCGGCGGACGGGUGAGUAAUGCUUAGGAAUCUGCCUAUUAGUGGGGGACAACAUCUCGAAAGGGAUGCUAAUACCGCAUACGUCCUACGGGAGAAAGCAGGGGAUCUUCGGACCUUGCGCUAAUAGAUGAGCCUAAGUCGGAUUAGCUAGUUGGUGGGGUAAAGGCCUACCAAGGCGACGAUCUGUAGCGGGUCUGAGAGGAUGAUCCGCCACACUGGGACUGAGACACGGCCCAGACUCCUACGGGAGGCAGCAG
rnacentral:rRNA from 1 species